rnacentral:rRNA from 1 species
GUGUCAGCAGCCGCGGUAAUACCGGCAGCCCGAGUGAUGGCCGAUCUUAUUGGGCCUAAAGCGUCCGUAGCUGGCCGCACAAGUCCAUCGGAAAAUCCACCCGCCCAACGGGUGGGCGUCCGGUGGAAACUGUGUGGCUUGGGACCGGAAGGCGCGACGGGUACGUCCGGGGUAGGAGUGAAAUCCUGUAAUCCCGGACGGACCGCCGAUGGCGAAAGCACGUCGCGAGGACGGAUCCGACAGUGAGGGACGAAAGCCAGGGUCUCGAACCGGAUUAGAAACCCGUGUAGUCC